rnacentral:rRNA from 1 species
UUUCCGGUUGAUCCUGCCGGACCUGACUGCUAUCGGAUUGGUACUAAGCCAUGUGAGUCAUUGUAGCAAUACAAGGCAUACGGCUCAGUAACACGUAGUCAAUCUGCCCUAUGGACGUGGAUAACCUCGGGAAACUGAGAAUAAUCCGCGAUAGAUCAUAAUGCCUGGAACGGUUUAUGGUCCAAAUGAUUCGUCGCCAUAGGAUGGGACUGCGGCCUAUCAGCUUGUUGGUGAGGUAAUGGCCCACCAAGGCUAUUACAGGUACGGGCUCUGAGAGGAGAAGCCCGGAGAUGGGUACUGAGACACGGACCCAGGCCCUAUGGGGCGCAGCAGGCGAGAAACCUUUGCAAUGUGCGCAAGCACGACAAGGUUAAUCCGAGUGUUUCCUGCUAAAGGAAUCUUUUGUUAGUUCUAAAGCCACUGAUGAAUAAGGGGUGGGCAAGUUCUGGUGUCAGCCGCCGCGGUAAAACCAGCACCUCAAGUGGUCAGGAGGAUUAUUGGGCCUAAAGCAUCCGUAGCCGGUUCUGUAAGUUUCCGGUUAAAUCCACUAGCUCAACUAAUGGGCUGCCGGAAAUACUGCAGAACUAGGGAGUGGGAGAGGUAGACGGUACUCGGGAGGAAGGGGUAAAAUCCUUUUGAUCUCUUGAUGACCACCUGUGGGCGAAAGCGGUCUACCAGAACACGUUCGACGGUGAGGGGAUGAAAGCUGGGGGAGCAAACCGGGAUUAGAUACCCGGGUAGUCCCAGCUGUAAACGAUGCAGACUCGGUGAUGCACUGGCUUUUGGCCAGUGCAGUGCCGCAGGGAAGCCGUUAAGUUUGCCGCCUGGGAAGUACGUACGCAAGUAUGAAACUUAAAGGAAUUGGCGGGGGAGCAC